UACGUAGGGUCCGAGCGUUGUCCGGAAUUAUUGGGCGUAAAGGGCUCGUAGGCGGUUUGUCGCGUCGGGUGUGAAAACACCGGGCUUAACUCGGUGCUUGCUUUCGAUACGGGCAGACUGGAGGUAUGCAGGGGAGAACGGAAUUCCUGGUGUAGCGGUGAAAUGCGCAGAUAUCAGGAGGAACACCGGUGGCGAAGGCGGUUCUCUGGGCAUUACCUGACGCUGAGGAGCGAAAGUGUGGGGAGCGAACAGG
rnacentral:rRNA from 1 species